rnacentral:lncRNA from 1 species
AGUCAUCUAUAGAUGUUAAUUAUAUCCACCUGAUUAAUCGUGCUAUUGAGUUCAAUUAUGUCCUUACUGAUUUUCUGCCUGCUGGAUUUGUCCAUUUCUGAUGGAGGAGUGUUGAAGUCUCCAACUGUAAUAGUGGUUUCUUCUAUUUAUCCUUGCGAUUCUAUUUUUGCCUCACAUAUUUUGAUGCUCUGUUUUUAGGUGCACACACAUUAAGAAUUGUCCUGUCUUCUUAGAGAAUUAACCCUUUUAUCAUUGUCUAAUGCCUCUCUUUACCUUUGAUAACUUUCCUUGCUCGGAAGUCUGCUGCCUAAAAUUAAUAUAGUUUCUCACACUCUCUUUUGAUUAGAACUAGCAUAGUAUGGCUUUCUCCAUUAAUUUACUUUUAAUCUAUAUGUUUAUAUUAAAAGUGGGUUUCUUUGUCUAGUGUGCUAAUGAGCCCAUCAAAGGCAUUCUUCAUUUUUGUUACAGUGUUUUUUAUCUUUAGCAUUAUUAAAAUUCUUUCUUAGAAUCUCCAUCCCUCUGCUUACCCAUUUGUUCUUGUAUGUCGUCUACUAUUUCCAUUACAGGCCUUAAUAUAUUAAUCAUAGUUGUUUUAAAAUCCUGGUCUGAUAAUUCCAACAUCCCUGCUAUACCUGAGCUUGGUUAUAAUGCUUGCUUUGUCUUUUUAAACUAUGUUUUUUGACUUUUAGUAUGUCUUACACUUUUUUUUGUUGCACACCAGAUACAAUGUACUGGGUAAAAGGAACUCUGGCAAACAGUCCUUAGUGGUGUGGAGUUAAGACGUAGGGAGAGGAUAAGCAUUCUAUAUAAUGAGGUCUCAGUUUUUUAGUAAGCCUGUGCCCCUGGGCUGUAAACUUCACAGUGCUUCUCAAUAUCCACCUCAACUUGCAAUGUGGGACACGAUGGCUGCAGUGGGCUGGAGUUGGGUAUUUCUCUUUCCCCCAGUUGGUUUUAGGCGCUGAUAAAACCCCAUUAGGUUAGGCUCUGGUAAAAUCGUUUCCCUUGAAGGCAGACCUUGUCCAGAAGAACAGAAUGCUCUGGCAUAUUUCAAAAUGGUUACUUUUCCCUAGAAGUAUAAAGGGAUUUUUCUCUAGUACUCUCUGUGAGAACCUGGUAGAGCUCCUGGAGCUAAACCUCACAAAAAACUUGUGAGGCCUCCCUCUGACCGGGACCCCCUGGAGUUUUUAUUUC